ACAUUGCUGUGGCAUACGAAUCCACAUCUAAGUGUUGACCGACUAUUUCUUUGUAUUUCGGGAAACGAAGUCAUCUCUAGUGCGCAAGCCGUUAACACGCGGAAGCCACUUAAAGAGGUGCGAGUUACCCACCUGCUUAUUUUGUGCGGGAUCAAUACAAAAAGUGGAUCAUCGGUGCCAAUACAGCUUCCUA
rnacentral:sRNA from 3 species